rnacentral:lncRNA from 1 species
GGUGCGAUAAUACAGCCGGGCCUGCAUAAGUGUGUCAUACUGUGCUAAAAGCAAAUAAAACAGGGAGGAAACCACCAUCAGCCCCUCUGAGUUCUGGAAGGCCCACUCUUCCCUGAGGAUGGUUCUGUGUGUGUGAUCCCACCAUGACACAAGACCAUGUGACACUGGGAUCAGGUGAGAGUGCUGUGUCAGUGUCAGUCCCUGUAUUCAUUCAUUUUUUUUUUUUUUUGGCUUUUUAGGGCUGCACCCACAGCAUAUGGAGGUUCCAAGGCUAGGGGUCCAAUCGUAGCUGUUGCUGCUAGCCACAGCCACAGCACCUCAGGAUCCCAGCCUUGUCUGCAACCUACAGCACAGCUCACGGCAAUGCCGGAUCCUUAACCCAUGGAUUGGGGCCAGGGAUCGAACCCACAUCCUUAUGGAUACUAGUCAGGUUCGUUAGCCACUGAGCCACGACGGGAACUCCAUGUAUUCAUUCUUCCAUUACUGCCAGGAGACAUGUGCCCUACUCUGUAGAACUCUAAUAUAAAUCACCAAAAUACAGUUUUCUAAAAGGACUUUUACAGGAGCCAUGAAUUUAUGUAUGUAGCAGAAGACCCAUAUUCUAUUCAAUUAGCAUGGCUGUUAUAUAACACGUUUCAAAGAGCCUAAAGCCUGGAGAGGCUGGAUGACUUUCCCUUGACCCCACGGAGGGUUCUUGGCAAAUAAGACCAGAAAUCAGAUCCUCUGAGCCUCAGGCUAACACGCUUCCGGGUAACACCAUGAGAUUAUGAACGAGUAAAUUUAGUAAUUUCGUGACUGAAUUAAGUUCUGUCGGCCUCUCUUCAGCAUCGUGCUGUGGGAUGGGGGAGAGGGGACUCAAGCCAAGAACAGGAGUAGAAACCAGGUGGUGACAGCCCUGGAGAAGGGGGAAUUUUCAGUUCCCUGCAAGCAAGAUACGAGAAGGGACAAUUUGCUUUUGGGCCCCCCGUUUCUGUUUGUCUCACUGACAACAAACUUUAUAUUGAUUACAGUUCUCCUGAAAAGAGUUCUCUCGUGCUUCCCCUGCCAGAUAGUCGGGGACAUGAUAUUUAAUGUCACAUUGAUUAUACUGAUGCAUGUUGAUUAUAUUCAGGGACUGCCAGCCAGAAAGGUAUCUGGUAUGGCAAUCGGGAAGGAAGGAUACAAAUGCAAUAAGAUGAAGUUAAUUAUGUUUCCCUCCUGUACUAGGAAAGUUCAAUAAGAGAAGCAAGACCCGAUGAGUAUUAUGAGAUAGGUAAUUUAUUACGGAGUCAAACCUUACACACUUUGGGAAGGAGCUGAGGAAGAAAAGGUCCGAAAAAUACGUGGUGCAGGUGGACCAGCUGGAUGGAGGUAAAAGCGGUGGCGGGAGAGGCUGGCAGAGAGAGGUCUCUGGAAGGCUGUAGGCUUACUGUGGCUCCUACCUCUGUGAGCUCCCAGCAAGACAUUUCCUGAUGGGUCUGGGUCACUGCUGGUCAGUAAGCCAGCAUUUAUGAAGAAGAGCUGGACUUGCAGUGGGGAAAAUCGGGAGCAAAUGAGAACCCACUGGUACCUCGGUAACGGCUCCAUCUGCCUCUACCAACCUUCAAAUGGCUGGUGCUGCAUUUCUGCCUCUUAAAUACCACAUGCGUGUGCAGGAGUUCCCAUUGUGGUGCAGCAGAAACGAAUCUGACUAGUAUCCAUGAAGAUGUGGAUUCGAUCCCUGACCUUGCUCAGUGGGUUAAGGAUCUGGCAUGGCCGUGAGUCAUGGUGUAGGUCACAGGCACAGCUUGGAUCUGGCAUUGCUGUGGCUGUGGUGUAAGUCAGCACCUGCAACUCCAAUCUGACCCCUAGCCUGGGAACUUCCACAGGUGUGGCCCUAAAAACACACACAAAGUACUGCUCGAAUUUUUCCUGUGGUUGCCUCUGAGGAUAUGGGGCUGUCACUGUCCCAUCAUGUCUCCCUGCAAGGAUUUCGCUUUUUUUUUUGGCCAUGGGUGGCAUGAGAAAGUUCCAGGGCCAGGGACCAAACCCAUGUCACAUCAACAACCUGAGCCACAGCAGUGACAACACCAGAUCCUUAACCUGCUGAGCCACCAGGGAACUCCUGCAAGGCCGUUGGUUCAUAGGUGGGACAUGCUGGUUUGGAGCCAGACCUGAACUACGGAGGAUGUGGAGAUAAGGCAGAAAGAGCUUCCUGCAGCUCCUCUUCUCAGCCUUUGCCUGGAGCCUCCGGAGAGGAAUGCAGCCCUGCUGUCACCUUGAUUUUGGCCCAGUGCUCUGGUCUGAACAUUUGCAUCUCCCCAAACUUCAUAUGUUGAGAUCCUACCCAUGAUGCAACGGUGGGUCCUUUGGGAGAUGAUUAGGCCAUGAGGGUGGUGCCCACGUGGAUGGGAUUAGUACCCUUAUAAAAGAGACCCCACAGAAAUCCCCAAAGCCUUCCACCAGAUGCCAACACUGCAAGGAGAAAUCUACAGCCCAGAACAGGCCCUCCCCUUUCAUGCCAGUAUUUUGAUCCCAGACUUCCAGCCUCCACAACUGUGACAAAUAAAUUUCUGUUGUUUAUAAGCUACCCGAUCUGUGUUUUUUAUAAGAGCAGUGCAAGGGGAUGGAGAAACUAUCUCCCUGGCAGUCUGCUGCCAAUGACUCACUGAUUUGAGGGUACAAAAGGCCAGCCCACUGGUCUCAAGGAGGGGAUGCCUCUGCAGUGCAAUUCAUGCUCCAGAGCUUCCCAUGGGCCAGGCUGCACCUGCUGAGGCUCCAUCUGCUCUCUUCCACUGUCCUCUCUCCCUUUUUCCUGAGAGCACAUCCUCAAAUAAAUCAUGGAUACCUGAGUUCCUGUCUUAGGCUUUCCUUGUAAAGAGUACCAAUCCAUGACCCCUCUCUCUCGCAGUCUCCUCAUCAGCCACAUGGUCCCUUGGCAGUUUUCAGAAUGCUGGGCAUUGGUUCCUGAUAAACCUACAAAGAUUUUAUUAACCCCAUUUUACAGAUGAGGAAACUGAGGCACAUAAAUGUUAAAUAAGUCAUAUAGCUUGUAAGUGGUGGAGCCUUGACCCCAAGCUGUUUGACUCCAGACACUGUGCCAUCACAUAACAUUAUCAUACUGAUUUAUUUAUUUACAUUGUUUACUAAUUUCCAUUUUGUUUACUUUGGUUAUUGUGUGUCUCCACCCACUCAAAUACAAGCUCAUGGAGGAUAUGGAUCUUUGUGUGUUUAGUCCACUACUAUAUCGCCUAGUACCUAAAGAAGUCCAGGUAUUAUGCUAUUUAUUUAUUAAAUAUUGAUUAAGUUACAUAGUUUCUGUGGCUCCAAGCCCUUCUACUUCCUGGAUUCAAGGGCAAAACACAUGGUAAGAAGGGUAGGUUUGUUAUUUGCAUUUUAGCCAAGCAUCCACGUCAUGUAAUAGAUGCUUCUUCCUUCCCAUCUUGAUUCAGCUCUGUAAUAAGUUGGAUGCAAGAUAUUUAAGGCACACGGUGAUUGCUUAAAUUUUUGGCAUUUGAAAUAUUUUUAAAUGGAAGCAUUUUAGAACCGUGAGUGCGGUGCAGCUGUGUAAUUGUUGCCUAAGAUAAUGAUCUCGGGUAUUCCAAGUGCCAGAAUUGGCAAUGAUGUCAUUGAGGCCUUACCAGAGACAAUCAAGGCUGAGAGAAGACUUGUAUGAAUCUAAAUUGAAAGUUCAUGGCCAGCGUUCCUGUCCUGGCUCAGCAGUUAACAAAUCUGACUAGCAUCCAUGAGGAUGCAGGUUCGAUCGCUGGCCUUGCUCAGUGGGUUAAGGAUCCCACAUUGCCAUGAGCUGUGGUGUAGGUUGCAGAUGUGGCUCGGAUCCUGUGUUGCUGUGGCUGUGGUGUAGCCCAGCAGCUACAGCUCCAAUUCGACUCCUAGCCUGGGAACCUCCAUAUGCCUUGGGUAUGGCCCUAAAAAGCAAAAAAAAAAAAAAAAA